rnacentral:misc_RNA from 1 species
GAUGAAGAACGCAGUGAAAUGCGAUAAGUAAUGUGAAUUGCAGAAUUCCGUGAAUCAUCGAAUCUUUGAACGCACAUUGCGCCCCCUGGCAUUCCGGGGGGCAUGCCUGUCCGAGCGUCAUUUCUGCCCUCCAGCCCGGCUGGGUGUUGGGCGCUGUCCCCCCGGGGACACGCCCCAAAGGCAGUGGCGGCGCCGCGUCGGGUCCUCGAGCGUAUGGGGCUUUGUCACCCGCUCGGGACGGACUCGUCGGCGCUGGUCUUCCUCCAGGCGACCCUUCGGGGCUCGUCUUCCUUCGGUUGACCUCGGAUCAGGUAGGGUUACCCGCUGAACUUAAGCAUAUCAAUAAGCGGAGGA